rnacentral:rRNA from 1 species
AUUGAACGCUGGCCGCAGGCUUAACACAUGCAAGUCGAACGGUAACAGGAGAAAAGCUUGCUUUCUUGCUGACGAGUGGCGGACGGGUGAGUAAUGCUUGGGAAUCUGGCUUAUGGAGGGGGAUAACGACGGGAAACUGUCGCUAAUACCGCGUAGAAUCGAGAGAUGAAAGUGCGGGACCGUAAGGCCGCAUGCCAUGAGAUGAGCCCAAGUGGGAUUAGGUAGUUGGUGGGGUAAAGGCCUACCAAGCCGACGAUCUCUAGCUGGUCAGAGAGGAUGACCAGCCACACCGGGACUGAGACACGGCCCGGACUCCUACGGGAGGCAGCAGUGGGGAAUAUUGCGCAAUGGGGGCAACCCUGACGCAGCCAUGCCGCGUGAAUGAAGAAGGCCUUCGGGUUGUAAAGUUCUUUCGGUGACGAGGAAGGUUGUUGUGUUAAUAGCGCAACAAAUUGACGUAAUC